rnacentral:lncRNA from 1 species
AGGAAGAGCUUCCUUCUACUCCACCUGCUUUGCUGAUCUCCCCACUGUUCUCCAUUCUGUCUCAAGACUAUAGCUGCCACUGGGGCAAAAGUGGCUUCUGCUCCAAGUCUGGGC